CUCCAAGGCACAGUCCGUGACUUAUCGAUUGCCCGAGUUCCCGACUUCCCGUCUCCUACUCUUCUCCUUAGGGUUAGGAUUUAGGGUUUGUGCUGCGCCGCCCGAGCUCCAUUUGGCUAUUCCCUCCCUCAGGUCAGGCCUUAGUCUCUCUCGAGCCUCUCCCCUCUCCUUCGGACCUUCGCCUCCACCCUCUCCUCCUCCGUGCCGACAACUUUGGCCUCCCCGUCGACGGCGAUCGUGGCGGCUUGAGGACCACACUCCACCAUCCGCGACCUCUCCUUAGUUAGGGACUUAGGGUUAGAGUUUGUGUGCCGCCCGAGCUCUAUUCCCUCCCUCAGUCUUUCUCGAGUCUCUCCCCUUUGCUCUCCUUCGGAUUCUUCGCCUCCCGAGCCCUCUCCUCCGGACCUCUGCCUCCGCCCUCUCCUCCCCUGUGCCGACAACUUCGGCCUCCCCAUCGACGGCGACCGUGGCGGCUCGGAUCCUCUGCUCUACCGAGUUGGUGCAGGCAGCUGGUACUUGAUCUGUUCGAUCACAUAACUUUUGUCCCCUUAUAUUGAGGCUCUUUUCUACGAUACGCUGCUGCUUUCUGGGUUAUAGAAAUAUCGUGUUUUAGCAGCCACAUUUUUGUCAGUGUUUAUAUUCUUGUGAUUGAAAACUGACUACCUGUUCUCUUCACCAUUUCUACAGUAAGUUACAGAGUGAUGUUUUGAGGGAAGCAAUCUCUCAGAUUGCAAAUGAUUCUCGAGAGAAGAAGCGCAAUUUUACUGAAACCAUUGAGCUACAAAUUGGUCUGAAAAACUAUGACCCCCAAAAAGAUAAGCAUUUCAGCAGAUCUUAUGUUUACCUAAUAUAAUUUUUAAUGGCAAACAUCAUACAAAUAACUUGUCCAAUGCAUUUGAAUUCAGGGCCUGGUUGUUCUUCUAUUGUCUAUGGAGAGGCAGAGGAACUUGGACCUUUCUUAAUACAAAAAGGCAUGCCAGAGCUCAAAUUCAACAAGCAUUCUUGGAACCGGAGGAAUUGCGACUCAUCACUCGCCUAUAGGCCCUAUACUGACAGAGAAAAUAGGGCUUGACUAUAUGGAUGUUGAAGCACUAAAAAAAUGAAUAAAAACAAGAAGCUGGUCAAAAAGCUUGCUAAGAAGUACCAUGCUUUCCUAGCAUCAGAGGCCAUCAUGUAUAUUGAUAUUUGUUCUAUGUGAAGCAGAUUUUCUUUUCGGGCUAUUCCAUAUGUAAAUUUGGAUGAUUUGACUUGUAUUCCUUAUCUUUGUAAAGAUUAAAUAUUUUUUGAAUAUUGUUGGUAUUAGAUGAAUGAAUAAAUACUUGUAUUCCUUAUGUUUA